AGGCAUUGGCAGAGCUCAGCUCAGGAAAGCAGACAGCAGCACUUGGCACUGAAGCAGAAUGUGAUAAUUUGGAAGGAGAAUACUCACCUCGAUGGCACUGAAAUAUCAAGCAAAGGGAUACAGAACUUUACCUCAUAUCUGAGAGAAUCCAGCAACUGUUCACAGAGAUGAUGAAGGAACUGGAACAUCUCUACUAUAAGGAAAGCCCAAGAGAGCUCAGAUUCUUCAGCCUAGAGAAGAAGAGAUACAGGGGAAUUCAUCAGUGUCUGUAUAGAAGAAAAAAAGGAAUUGUCUAUACAAACUCUGUUGCAUUCCACAAACUGAAAUUCAGAAAGAAUGUUUUGAGGAUAAGUUGUGCUGCUAAAUCCUACAUCUUCAACUCAAAGAGACAUGAAAACAAAAAAAAUAUGUAAGUGUAAACAAAACUGAAUCAAAUCAUCCAAUAAGCAAUAAAAAUCUUAAUAAGUAGAAAAUUUGCAAACAGAGUAUAAUAGAAGUGUCUCGUGUUAACACAAAGUAAUGCAAAUAUUGUAUGGACUUUUCUUUAGUUUUCAGCUUAACAAUUUUGUUGCUUUUUAUUUUGAACAUUUAUUACAUUCUGCCAUGUCGUUUCCACAAUCUUUUCUUUUUUUUUCUUUGUAUUUCUUAAAUUGCUAGUUGACAUUUAAUAGAUACAUUUUGCUAAUUUGUGGAAGAAAAGAUCUUCAGGGGCUGUUAAGCAUGGAGGCUACCAGGACACAUUUGUAAAGGAACUCAAUCUAGCAGAUGAACAAGAAAUACAGAAUGGCUCAUAAUCACAUGGCUCAGGGCUAGACAUCUCUUGAGUGGACAUAUCUAUACUGACUGUUUCCAGUCUCAGGUCUUUUUAAACAUCCAGUCAGUGCACCACACUGGCUUUAGGACAUCUCCAGAAUAACUAUCAGUGUUUAGACAAUAUUGUUUUACCCUUCCCCAUCCCCCUGGAUUCAAGUGGCAGAAACAAGGUUUGUGUGAGGGUUGUGUUGUCUGUAUACAGCCAUGUUGGGAGUAUGGGCUGGGGACAUGGCAUGACCUAAGACAGGGUUGCAUGAGGACAGGGCAGUGGCUGGGACAGUGAGAUAGGAUUCUAGAGGGAGGAAAAUCUGGUACUAUUUUGUCUACAAUGACUGUUGCGGUUUAAACUGGCAGGAAGGUAAGCACUACAUAGCCUUACAUUCACUCCUCCAACUCCCAGUGAGAUGGGGGAGAGAAUUAGAAAAAAAAAAGAAAGAACUAGAAUUUGCAAGUUGAGAUAAAAACCAUUUACUAAGACAGAAGAGGAAGAGUAAAAUAAUACAAAUGACAGUCUUAUAUACAUAUAUAUUUACAAAACAGGUGAUGCACAAAGCAGCUGCACAUCACCUGAUGAUCAGUGUCCAGCCAGUCUCUGGGCAAUGCCUGCCUCCCUGUUAAACUGUGUUCAGUUUUAUAAUUUUUUUUGCAUGAUGUCAUAUGAUAUGUAAAAUCCCUUUGGCCAGUCAGGAUCAUCUGUCCUAGUUCUGUCCCGUCCCAGCAACUUGUGCCACCUCACUGACCUCACUGGCAGGGCAGUACAAGAGGUAAUAUGAAUCUAUUUAAAUGGAUCAAAUCAUUGGAGAGAAUU
ensembl:lncRNA